rnacentral:lncRNA from 1 species
CGAUACCGAGUUAUCAAAUAAAAUUAAAACAUAUAUGCUGGAAACUGAAAUUUUGAGAAUAUUUUCAAAAUUAUGCUAAUUACAUGAUGUGGACUUUUGUACUAGUAAACAACUUGGCCAUGUUGGAACUUGAAAAGGGCUUGGAAAACCUCAAACUUGUGGCCUCACCUUCGUUCAAUAUAUAUCAGUACGAAUACGAUAGUACAGUCUUUGUCCCGCUAAAGGGUUGAACAAAUUAUUGUACCAGCGGAUAUGCAGCAAUGUAUUUGAGGCUUUGAUUUUUUUGGUUGCCUAUUAUGUGCAACAAGUACAAACCAUUCUACUGUGUGUUGGGCCCAUUUGAUAUAAGCCCACAUCGUGGGCCCUUCCCAUAGGGACCAAGUUAUUCCGGUG